rnacentral:ncRNA from 1 species
GAGAGCCGUGUGCUAUGAAAGUAGCAAGCACGGUUCGGGGGAGAGUCGUUGUUUUCCUGAAUCUAAGGACGAAGGGAAUGGCGGCUUAUCCUAC